AGCAGUAGCCGCGGGAAUACGGAGGGUGCAAGCGUUAAUCGGAAUUACCGGGCGUAAAGCGCACGCAGGCGGUUUGUUAAGUCAGAUGUGAAAUCCCCGAGCUUAACUUGGGAACUGCAUUUGAAACUGGCAAGCUAGAGUCUUGUAGAGGGCGGUAGAAUCCCAGGUGUAGCGGUGAAAUGCGUAGAGAUCUGGAGGAAUACCGGUGGCGAAGGCGGCCCCCUGGACAAAGACUGACGCUCAGGUGCGAAAGCGUGGGGAGCAAACAGGAUUAGAUACCCGAGUAGUCCCUGUCUCUUAUAA
rnacentral:rRNA from 1 species